GUUAACAUUUCUACGGGGGCAUCAAUACUUGCGGCUGCUUGUGGUGGCAAAGUUGCCAAGCAAGGGAAUCGAUCGAGUUCUUCUGCAUGUGGAAGUGCUGACGUAUUGGAAACGUUGGGGGUAGUAAUUGACCUGGACCCAGAGGGGGUAUCAAGGUGUGUGAAUGAAGCAGGAAUUGGUUUUAUGAUGUCUCCAAAGUACCAUCCUGCAAUGAAGAUUGUAAGCCCAGUGAGGAAAAAACUAAAAGUAAAGACAGUUUUCAAUAUAUUGGGCCCUAUGUUGAAUCCUGCUCGUGUACCUUUUGGUGUUGUUGGAGUAUACAAAGGAGACUUAGUAUACAAAAUGGCUAAAGCAUUGCAACGAUUUGGGAUGAAGAGAGCAUUAGUUGUUCACUCAGAGGGCUUAGAUGAAAUGAGCCCCCUUGGACCUGGUAUAGUCCUUGACAUCACUCAAGAAAAGAUUGAGAAAUUCUCAUUUGAUCCAUUGGAAUUUGGCAUUCAUCGUUGCACUUUAGACAGCUUGCGAGGUGGAGGCCCAGAUUACAAUGCAGAAACACUAAAACGAGUAUUAUCAGGGGAGAAAGGGUCCAUUGCUGAUGCACUUAUCCUAAAUGCAGCAGCAGCUCUCUUGGUAAGUGGCCGUGUGAACAGUUUAGCAGAAGGGGUAGCUUUGGCUCGCGAGACACAAUUGUCAGGAAAAGCUAUGAAAACGCUUAAUUUGUGGAUAAAAAUUUCAAAAGAGCAGAAGGCGAAAGAGGAAAUGCUUGUCCAGACUACCGAAUAAUGAUUGGCGCAUCUAAUGCAAUAUGAUCUCGAAAGUUCAUCCAAACCAUAAAAGAGAGAGGGAGAGAAAUACUAAAAAAAAAUGUAGUAUGCUGGAUAUGAAUAUAAUUUUGCAGUCUCUCCUUUUUUUAAGCCGGGAAAAUUGCAAUAUUCGUGAGUAGAAAGAGAACAAAAACAUAGCAGGAAAAACCAUUUUAACGUUGAUACAAAAUAUGGAUAGU
rnacentral:misc_RNA from 1 species